rnacentral:rRNA from 1 species
CCUACGGGUGGCAGCAGUGGGGAAUAUUGCACAAUGGGGGAAACCCUGAUGCAGCGACGCCGCGUGAGUGAAGAAGUAUCUCGGUAUGUAAAGCUCUAUCAGCAGGGAAGAAAAUGACGGUACCUGACUACGAAGCCCCGGCUAACUACGUGCCAGCAGCCGCGGUCAUACGUAGGGGGCAAGCGUUAUCCGGAUUUACUGGGUGUAAAGGGAGCGUAGACGGCGCUGCAAGUCCGGAGUGAAAGCCCAUGGCUUAACCAUGGUACUGCUCUGGAAACUGUGGAGCUUGAGUGCGGGAGAGGCAGGCGGAAUUCCUAGUGUAGCGGUGAAAUGCGUAGAGAUCAAGAGGAAUACUCAUGGCGAAGGCGACCUGCUAGAACAUAACUGACGCUGAUGCGCGAAAGCGUGGGGAGCAAACAGGAUUAGAUACCCUAGUAGUC